GUAUGCUGAAAUUAAAUCAAAAAGCCAGAAAAACGUCGUCGCCAUCUUCCAGAUCAUCUCUUCGGGAAACAUCUGAGUAACAAUUCUCCUUCUCUCCCAUGGCUGGAAUGAAAGCUCAACAACAUGGCAUCAAGAUCAACAACAAAUAAUCAAGGAGGAUAAUGAAUCAAACACCAAAGAAAAACAGCAAUGAAUCAUCUGCUGACUAUUAUAUUUGAUAUUAUAAAGGAAGAAACUAACUACGAUUUUUGUACUCUUCCGCAGAUGAACAUGGUGGCAAAUGAAACCAAGAGACACACAUUUACGAAACAUGAAUAUCAGCAUCCACAUAUGCGGAAGGUAAACAAGAAGAUCUAGGAGAGAAGGAAGGUAAAGAGAGAUCAGAGAAGGGACCAAGAAAGCUAAUUAUUUUGUAAACAAAAAAAAUUCAGUUUUAACAAUUUUCCUCAUUAAACGUUAAUCUUAUUCAACAAUCUAUUUUCCCAUAA